CGCCACCGGCGGACGGCUCAGUAACACGUCGGUAACCUACCCUCGGGAGGGGGAUAACCCCGGGAAACUGGGGCUAAUCCCCCAUAGGCCUGGGGUACUGGAAGGUCCCCAGGCCGAAAGGGGACCGUUAGGUCCCGCCCGAGGAUGGGCCGGCGGCCGAUUAGGUAGUUGGUGGGGUAACGGCCCACCAAGCCGAAGAUCGGUACGGGCCGUGAGAGCGGGAGCCCGGAGAUGGACACUGAGACACGGGUCCAGGCCCUACGGGGCGCAGCAGGCGCGAAACCUCCGCAAUGCGGGAAACCGCGACGGGGGGACCCCCAGUGCCGUGCCUCUGGCACGGCUUUUCCGGAGUGUAAAAAGCUCCGGGAAUAAGGGCUGGGCAAGGCCGGUGGCAGCCGCCGCGGUAAUACCGGCGGCCCGAGUGGUGGCCACUAUUAUUGGGCCUAAAGCGGCCGUAGCCGGGCCCGUAAGUCCCUGGCGAAAUCCCACGGCUCAACCGUGGGGCUCGCUGGGGAUACUGCGGGCCUUGGGACCGGGAGAGGCCGGGGGUACCCCCGGGGUAGGGGUGAAAUCCUAUAAUCCCGGGGGGACCGCCAGUGGCGAAGGCGCCCGGCUGGAACGGGUCCGACGGUGAGGGCCGAAGGCCAGGGGAGCGAACCGGAUUAGAUACCCGGGUAGUCCUGGCUGUAAAGGAUGCGGGCUAGGUGUCGGGCGAGCUUCGAGCUCGCCCGGUGCCGUAGGGAAGCCGUUAAGCCCGCCGCCUGGGGAGUACGGCCGCAAGGCUGAAACUUAAAGGAAUUGGCGGGGGAGCACUACAAGGGGUGGAGCGUGCGGUUCAAUUGGAUUCAACGCCGGGAACCUUACCGGGGGCGACGGCAGGAUGAAGGCCAGGCUGAAGGUCUUGCCGGACGCGCCGAGAGGAGGUGCAUGGCCGCCGUCAGCUCGUACCGUGAGGCGUCCACUUAAGUGUGGUAACGAGCGAGACCCGCGCCCCCAGUUGCCAGUCCCUCCCGCUUGGGAGGGAGGCACUCUGGGGGGACUGCCGGCGAUAAGCCGGAGGAAGGGGCGGGCGACGGUAGGUCAGUAUGCCCCGAAACCCCCGGGCUACACGCGCGCUACAAUGGGCGGGACAAUGGGACCCGACCCCGAAAGGGGAAGGGAAUCCCCUAAACCCGCCCUCAGUUCGGAUCGCGGGCUGCAACUCGCCCGCGUGAAGCUGGAAUCCCUAGUACCCGCGCGUCAUCAUCGCGCGGCGAAUACGUCCCUGCUCCUUGCACACACCGCCCGUCACUCCACCCGAGCGGGGCCCGGGUGAGGCCCGAUCUCCUUCGGGAGGUCGGGUCGAGCCCGGGCUCCGUGAGGGGGGAGAAGUCGUAACAAGGUAGCCGUAGGGGAACCUACGGCUCGAUCACCUCCUAGGGGAACCUACGGCUCGAUCACCUCCUAUCGCCGGAAACCCCGUCCGGGGGAACUAAAGGGGUGCCGGGCCUGCCUCUUCUAAUUGGUGGGCCGGUAGCUCAGCCUGGUAUGAGCGCCGCCCUUGCAAGGCGGAGGCCCCGGGUUCAAAUCCCGGCCGGUCCACCACGAAGAGAUGCACGUCCCGAGCUAAUGCUCGGGGCGGAAGGGCCCUAGGCCCCCUAACAGGGGGCGACGAUGAGGGCCGUGCAUAGGCGGGUGGCCCAAGAAGUGCCUGGCCCCUCCGGUAGGGGGG
rnacentral:rRNA from 1 species